rnacentral:lncRNA from 1 species
CAGUUCCUUGUGGUUGUAGAUCUUCAGUUUCUUCCUGGUUGUAAACUUUGGGUCAUUCCCAGCUUCUAAAGGUCACUGGCUUUUCUUGGCUUGUGGCCCCCUACCACUGUUUUAAAAGCCAGUAAUAGCAGGCCACAUCUUUCUCAUACUGCCAUCUGUCUGAAUCUCAGCAUCCAGAAAAUAUUCUCUGCUCUCAAGGAAUUAUGAGAUUAGACUGGCUCACCAAGAUAAACACAAUCUGGGAAACAUUUUAUAAUACAGAGGGCCACACCAGAUUGAAUAUUGCCCCCAGGAAUGAAAUGAAAACAGGAAUGGAUUCUCCAGUAAGAGUUGUUUGAAUCGGUGGAUGCAGAACCCAUGAAUAUGGAGAGUCAAUUGCAUUUUAUUAUGCCCAAAGGUAAAUGCAUAAUUUUUCCACACAGCUAAUCUUCUAGCAACCCCAUUGCUGUCCAUGGCAAACAGGCUUAGUUAAUCUCGCCCUUUCCCGUUUCAGGUUCAUUAUACACCAUGGAAUACUAUGCAGCCAUAAAAAAUGAUGAGUUCAUGUCCUUACUAGGGACAUGGAUGAAGCUGGA